GAGAGAAAAGCGACUGCCUUUACGCUCCCGAGGAUGACCACAUCCCUCUAGACGAAACCAACGUCCGAAUGCCGAACGAGCGACGAUCACGUCGAACUCUUCGACCCAAUUCCUUACUUUUUGUGUGAUGCUCAUCUUCUCGAUAAACUAAGGAAAAAAAGAAAAGAGGAUUGAAAUAUUAAAACAAUAAAAACGAGAAUACUUAUAAUAUA